GCCGGGUGUGGUGACACACGCCUGUAGUCCCAGCUACUCGGGAGGCUGAGGUGGGAGAAUCACUUGAACCCAGGAAGUGGAGGUUGCAGUGAGCCAAGACCAUGCCAUUGCACUCCAGCCUGGGUAACAAAGUGAGACUCCAUCUCCA
rnacentral:SRP_RNA from 1 species